UACAAGGGGGGCAAGCGUUGUUCGGAAUUACUGGGCGUAAAGGGCUCGUAGGCGGCCGGCUAAGUCCGACGUGAAAUCCCCAGGCUUAACCUGGGAACUGCGUCGGAUACUGGCGGGCUUGAAUCCGGGAGAGGGAUGCGGAAUUCCAGGUGUAGCGGUGAAAUGCGUAGAUAUCUGGAGGAACACCGGUGGCGAAGGCGGCAUCCUGGACCGGCAUUGACGCUGAAUAGCGAAAGCCAGGGGAGCAAACGGG
rnacentral:rRNA from 1 species